rnacentral:misc_RNA from 1 species
CAACCCUCAAGCUCUGCUUGGUAUUGGAUGUCACCCUUGCAUUUGUGGUGCACCUCAAAAUCAGUGGCGGUGCCUUUUUGGCCUCAAGCGUAGUAAAAUUUCUCGCUUUGGAGGUUUGGAUGUGCACUUGCUAACAAAACAUAAUUUUUUCAAU